rnacentral:rRNA from 1 species
GGGGAAUCUUGCGCAAUGGGCGAAAGCCUGACGCAGCGACGCCGCGUGAGUGAUGAAGGCCCUCGGGUUGUAAAGCUCUGUGGAGGGGGAAGAAUAAGGGUGACCUAAUACGUCAUCCGAUGACGGUACCCCUUUAGCAAGCACCGGCUAACUCUGUGCCAGCAGCCGCGGUAAGACAGAGGGUGCAAACGUUGUUCGGAAUUACUGGGCGUAAAGCGCGUGUAGGCGGCUUGGCAAGUCGGGUGUAAAAGCCCUGGGCUCAACCUAGGAAGUGCACUCGAAACUGCUUCGCUUGAGUAUCGGAGAGGAAAGCGGAAUUCUCGGUGUAGAGAUGAAAUUCGUAGAUAUCGAGAGGAACACCGGUGGCGAAGGCGGCUUUCUGGACGGUUACUGACGCUGAGACGCGAAAGCGUGGGGAGCAAAC